rnacentral:rRNA from 1 species
UACGUAGGGAGCAAGCGUUGUCCGGAAUCAUUGGGCGUAAAGGGCGCGUAGGCGGCCUUCUAAGUCAGACGUGAAAUCCCCCGGCUUAACCUGGGAACUGCGUCUGAUACUGGGAGGCUUGAGUAUGGGAGAGGGAUGUAGAAUUCCAGGUGUAGCGGUGAAAUGCGUAGAUAUCUGGAGGAAUACCGGUGGCGAAGGCGGCAUCCUGGACCAUAACUGACGCUGAGGCGCGAAAGCUAGGGGAGCAAACGGG